AAACUACAUUAUAAACCAUGUUUUCGCAGUAAAACCAUAGCACCUCAUUAUAAAACAUGUUUUUUGCAGUAAAACCAUAGUAACGACAUUAUAAACCAUGGUUUUGUAGUAAAACCAUAGUAACUACAUUUCGAACUAUGGUUUUACUGCAGUAAACAUGAUUUAGCUAUAGUUUUUGUAGAAAACCAUAGUAAUUGCAAAAUGAACUGUGGUUUACCACAGCAUUUGCAGUAGAACAUUACAUAAUAGCCCAUGUUUUUUUGUAGUAAAACCAUAGCAACUACAUUAUAACCCAUGUUUUUUGUAGUAAAACCAAAGCAACAACAUUAUAAACCAAGUUUUUUUUUGUGUUAAACCAUAAGCACCUCAUUAUAAACCAAACCAUGGUUUUUGUAGUAAAACCAUAGCAACAACAUUAUAAACCAUGGUUUUUGUAGUAAAACCAUAGCAACGACAUUACAAACCAUGGUUUUUGUAGUAAAACCAUAGCAACAACAUUAUAACCAUGGUUUUUGUAGUAAAACCAUAGCACCUCAUUAUAAACCAUGGUUUUUUUGUAGUAAAACCAUAGCAACGACAUUAUAAACCAUGGUUUUGUUUAAUAAAACCAUAGCAACAACAUUACAAACCAUGGUUUUUGUAGUAAAACCAUAGUAACUACAUUACAAACCAUGUUUUUUUGUAGUAAAACCAUAGCACCUCAUUAUAAACCAUGUUUUUUUUUGUAGUAAAACCAUAGCACCUCAUUAUAAACCAUGUUUUUUUUUUGUAGUAAAACCAUAGCACCCAUUAUAACCAUGUUUUUUUUUAGUAAACCAUAGCACUCAUUAUAACCAUUGUUUUUGUAAGAAAACCAUAGUAACUACAUUAUAAACCAUGUUUUUUGUAGUAAAACCAUAGCACCUCAUUAUAAACCAUGGUUUUUGUAGAAAAAACAUAGUAACUACAUUAUAAACCAUGGUUUUGGCAGUAAAACCAUAGUACAGUAGGUGGCCAUCCAAAAU
rnacentral:lncRNA from 1 species